UAUUCUUUGUUGAUGGAAAAGUAGAACCACCGUCGCGAGAGGUUUCGUUAUUUCCUUGUUACGUCACAGAAGGUA